rnacentral:rRNA from 1 species
AAACUCAAAGGAAUUGACGGGGGCCCGCACAAGCGGAGGAACAUGUGGUUUAAUUCGAUGAUACGCGAGGAACCUUACCCGGGCUUGAAAUGUACAUGAAUUACGUUGAAAGAUGUAAGCCAGCAAUGGCAUGUAUGUAGGUGCUGCAUGGUUGUCGUCAGCUCGUGCCGUGAGGUGUCGGCUUAAGUGCCAUAACGAGCGCAACCCACAUUAUUAGUUACUAACAGGUUGAGCUGAGGACUCUAAUAAGACUGCCGGCGUAAGCUGCGAGGAAGGUGUGGAUGACGUCAAAUCAGCACGGCCCUUACGUCCGGGGCGACACACGUGUUACAAUGGGAGGUACAAAGGGCAGCUACCUGGUGACAGGAUGCUAAUCCCUAAAGCCUCUCCCAGUUCGGAUCGGAGUCUGCAACUCGACUCCGUGAAGCUGGAUUCGCUAGUAAUCGCGCAUCAGCCAUGGCGCGGUGAAUACGUUCCCGGGCCUUGUACACACCGCCCGUC